rnacentral:sRNA from 1 species
GCCAAACGAGGCGGUCAACUUGGCUCAAGCCCCUCACUCGACUCUAUCGCUAUUAUUGGCCAGAUCAAGCGCGAACUCCCCCCCUUUUUGUUUUUUUUUGUUUUUUUCGAGUUUGCGAGUUUUUCACCAAAAAAAUCAAAAGAAAUGACAAUUUAUGGACUGUUAGUGCAGAUCAUAAUUAUUUGUAAUUAAAAGCUAAAGAGUCCCCAUCCCAGAGUCCCCACCAAGCAGCAGAAACAUGGCUCCGCCCCAAGAACAACAGGAGGAUGAUUUUAUCACCAAGAUACCCUCGAUAAUUGGAUUCCUGAACUUGGACUGACGACAAAAAUCUACGAAAAUAUCAUUGAAGAAUGAAGAAUUCAGAGAGCCAAGGCUGAAGCCAUGAAUCAUGAGAAUUAUAGCUGAAAACAACGAUCUUUUUAAUCAAAAAUGAAUAAGAAAUAAAUCAAUCAAUAAAUGAGAAAUGUGAAAAGAA